GUACAAGUAGCUUAAAUAGAGCAUCUUAUUGAAAAUGAGAGAGGUGGUUUACUCCCUGUGCC
rnacentral:tRNA from 1 species